AGAAUCAGAGGCUCCUGCAACUCAAUCUUUUAUUUUUUCCAAUGCCCUUUGGCAAUCAUUAUUUCACCUGACCGUUUAAAUUUUUUCCAAUGGCUUGAAUAUAGGUUCGCACGUGGCUGUUAGAUGAGAUGUGAACCAUGACAGGUAGUUCAAUCUUUCUAAGAAACCACGAACCUCUUUUUCUGUUUUUCCUCGGUUCAGGCAUUUUUUUUUUUUUUUUUU
rnacentral:lncRNA from 1 species